GCAUAUGAGUGUUCUUAUUUUUUAAUAACACUAUAUAUAUAUAUAUAUACAUGCCAUUAUAUACUUAAUACAUAUCGGUUGACAAAGCUUAGUUAUGUAAUUAAUUAUAGAGAUAUGCAUACAUGUAUAGGCAAGCUUAUGCAAUUAGUAGUAAAAAUAAUUAAUUAUACAGAGAACUAAUUUAAAGAAAGAAAAAAAAAAGUUAGAAACAUUCCAUUAUGGAGAAGCCA
rnacentral:lncRNA from 1 species